rnacentral:ncRNA from 1 species
AAUUAGUUUGAUUCUAGCUAGUAUAUUAGCUUUUAUGAAAAAUUACAUGUAUAAUUUUAUUAAUUUUUUUUUAUUCAGUAUUUAAUAUUUUUAAGUAGAAAGUUUUAUAUAAGGUAUCUUAUUAAAAUGGAUUAAUGUUGUGCCAGCAUUCGCGGUUAUACAAUUUAUUUAUGUUAAUAUUUUAGGUUAUAAAUUAUUAAUAAAUAAGGUUAUUUAAUAUAAAAAUUUAGGUGGAAUUUAUUUUUAUAAAUUAAUCUUUAAAUAAAUUUUUAUAAAACAUAAUAUUAAACUAGGAUUAGAUACCCUAUUAUUUAUGAAUUAGUAUUUACAGGACAUUAGUAGGUAUAUACUAUGAAACUUAAAGAAUUUGGCGGUGAUUUAUAUCUUAUUAGAGGAACCUGAUCUUUAAUUGAUAAACCACGAUAUGUUUUACCUCUUAAUUAUUUGUAUAUCUCUAUGUAAUAGAAUGUUUUAAUAAGAAUAUUUUCUUUUAUUUUUUAAAAUUAUUUUAGGUCAAGGUGCAGUUUUUAUGAAGGAUGGUUUGGGUUACUUUAGUUUUAUUUAUUAAUUAGUUUGUUAUUUAUGAUUUAAAAAUUUAUUAGGAUUUAAUAGUAAUUUUAACUACUUAGUUAUUAUGAAUAAAGUUUUAAAUCAUGUACAUAUCGCCCGUCGCUCCUAUUUAAAGGAUAAGUCGUAACAAAGUAAUUUUACCGGAAGGUGAGGUUAGUUGAAU